UAAUAUUAUUAAUUAUUGAAAGUGGAUACCAUUAAAUAUUUGUUAAGUCCAAAAAAAAAAAAGAUUGAAUAAAAAAAAACAAAGUGACGUAAGAAUUGGGCUUAAAGCCCAUUGAGUGGAUCUUCCUAUUGUAGGAAAAAUAAGAAGGCUUAAAGCCUUAAGCCUUGGGAAAGAGGGGUUACAUGGAACUAGAGCAAAGGACUUCUGUGCACAGAACAAAAACAGAACACGUCCUAGCAGGUACUCACGCGGGCAAAUAAAAUUUUUUAAGGUUCUUACCAAUCACUAAUUCUUGAACUCAGAAUCGAUUGUUUGACUGGUGUCAAUUGGACUGGGGUCUACGUAUUGACUCGAGAAGUUUUGAGGAACCGGAUUUGCAGGCGAGCA